AGAGUUUGAUCCUGGCUCAGGACGAACGCUGGCGGCGUGCUUAACACAUGCAAGUCAUGGGGGCGGAGCAAUCCGCAACCGGCGAACGGGUGCGUAACACGUGAACAACCUGCCCUCGUGUGGGGGAUAGCCGGGCUAACGCCCGGGUAAUACCGCAUACGUUCUCGUGGGGGAGUCCCUGCGGGAGGGAAGCUCUGGCGCACGGGGAGGGGUUCGCGGCCUAUCAGCUUGUUGGCGGGGUAACGGCCCACCAAGGCGACGACGGGUAGCUGGUCUGAGAGGAUGGCCAGCCACAUUGGGACUGAGAGACGGCCCAGACUCCUACGGGAGGCAGCAGUGGGGAAUCUUGCGCAAUGGUCUAACGACUGACGCAGCGACGCCGCGUGUGGGAGGACGCCUUUCGGGGUGUAAACCACUGUUGCCCGGGACGAACAGCGCUAUUCGUGGCGUCUGACGGUACCGGGCGAGGAAGCACCGGCUAACUCCGUGCCAGCCGCCGCGGUAAUA
rnacentral:rRNA from 1 species